GUUUCUUUAUUAUAAUUUUAGUAAGAUUAACUUCCAAUUAAUUAGUCCUAUAUUAGUAGGAAGAAAUG
rnacentral:tRNA from 2 species